rnacentral:rRNA from 1 species
GGUGUGACUGCGUACCUUUUGUAUAAUGGGUCAGCGACUUAUAUUCUGUAGCAAGGUUAACCGUAUAGGGGAGCCGCAGGGAAACCGAGUCUUAACUGGGCGUUAAGUUGCAGGGUAUAGACCCGAAACCCGGUGAUCUAGCCAUGGGCAGGUUGAAGGUUGGGUAACACUAACUGGAGGACCGAACCGACUAAUGUUGAAAAAUUAGCGGAUGACUUGUGGCUGGGGGUGAAAGGCCAAUCAAACCGGGAGAUAGCUGGUUCUCCCCGAAAGCUAUUUAGGUAGCGCCUCGUGAAUUCAUCUUCGGGGGUAGAGCACUGUUUCGGCUAGGGGGUCAUCCCGACUUACCAACCCGAUGCAAACUACGAAUACCGAAGAAUGUUAUCACGGGAGACACACGGCGGGUGCUAACGUCCGUCGUGAAGAGGGAAACAACCCAGACCGCCAGCUAAGGUCCCAAAGUCACAGUUAAGUGGGAAACGAUGUGGGAAGGCACAGACAGCCAGGAUGUUGGCUUAGAAGCAGCCAUCAUUUAAAGAAAGCGUAAUAGCUCACUGGUCGAGUCGGCCUGCGCGGAAGAUGUAACGGGGCUAAACUGUGCACCGAAGCUGCGGCAGCGACACUAUGUGUUGUUGGGUAGGGGAGCGUUCUGUAAGCCUGCGAAGGUGGCCUGUGAGGGUUGCUGGAGGUAUCAGAAGUGCGAAUGCUGACAUAAGUAACGAUAAUGCGGGUGAAAAGCCCGCACGCCGGAAGACCAAGGGUUCCUGUCCAACGUUAAUCGGGGCAGGGUGAGUCGACCCCUAAGGCGAGGCCGAAAGGCGUAGUCGAUGGGAAACAGGUUAAUAUUCCUGUACUUGGUGUUACUGCGAAGGGGGGACGGAGAAGGCUAUGUUAGCCGGGCGACGGUUGUCCCGGUUUAAGCAUGUAGGCGGAGGUUCCAGGUAAAUCCGGUACCUUUUAACGCUGAGGUGUGAUGACGAGGCACUACGGUGCUGAAGUAACAAAUGCCCUGCUUCCAGGAAAAGCCUCUAAGCAUCAGGUAACAUUGAAUCGUACCCCAAACCGACACAGGUGGUCAGGUAGAGAAUACCAAGGCGCUUGAGAGAACUCGGGUGAAGGAACUAGGCAAAAUGGUGCCGUAACUUCGGGAGAAGGCACGCUGAUAUGUAGGUGAAGCCCCUGCGGGUGGAGCUGAAAUCAGUCGAAGAUACCAGCUGGCUGCAACUGUUUAUUAAAAACACAGCACUGUGCAAACACGAAAGUGGACGUAUACGGUGUGACGCCUGCCCGGUGCCGGAAGGUUAAUUGAUGGGGUUAUCCGUAAGGAGAAGCUCUUGAUCGAAGCCCCGGUAAACGGCGGCCGUAACUAUAACGGUCCUAAGGUAGCGAAAUUCCUUGUCGGGUAAGUUCCGACCUGCACGAAUGGCGUAAUGAUGGCCAGGCUGUCUCCACCCGAGACUCAGUGAAAUUGAACUCGCUGUGAAGAUGCAGUGUACCCGCGGCAAGACGGAAAGACCCCGUGAACCUUUACUAUAGCUUGACACUGAACAUUGAGCCUUGAUGUGUAGGAUAGGUGGGAGGCUUUGAAGCGUGGACGCCAGUCUGCGUGGAGCCAACCUUGAAAUACCACCCUUUAAUGUUUGAUGUUCUAACGUUGGCCCCUUAUCGGGGUUGCGGACAGUGUCUGGUGGGUAGUUUGACUGGGGCGGUCUCCUCCCAAAGAGUAACGGAGGAGCACGAAGGUUAGCUAAUCCUGGUCGGACAUCAGGAGGUUAGUGCAAUGGCAUAAGCUAGCUUGACUGCGAGCGUGACGGCGCGAGCAGGUGCGAAAGCAGGUCAUAGUGAUCCGGUGGUUCUGAAUGGAAGGGCCAUCGCUCAACGGAUAAAAGGUACUCCGGGGAUAACAGGCUGAUACCGCCCAAGAGUUCAUAUCGACGGCGGUGUUUGGCACCUCGAUGUCGGCUCAUCACAUCCUGGGGCUGAAGUAGGUCCCAAGGGUAUGGCUGUUCGCCAUUUAAAGUGGUACGCGAGCUGGGUUUAGAACGUCGUGAGACAGUUCGGUCCCUAUCUGCCGUGGGCGCUGGAGAAUUGAGGGGGGCUGCUCCUAGUACGAGAGGACCGGAGUGGACGCAUCACUGGUGUUCGGGUUGUCAUGCCAAUGGCAUUGCCCGGUAGCUAAAUGCGGAAGAGAUAAGUGCUGAAAGCAUCUAAGCACGAAACUUGCCCCGAGAUGAGUUCUCCCUGAGACUUUAAGUCUCCUGAAGGAACGUUAAAGACGAUGACGUUGAUAGGUCGGGUGUGUAAGCGUAGCGAUACGUUGAGCUAACCGAUACUAAUGAACCGUGAGGCUUAACCUU